AUACUUACCUGGCGUAGAGAUUACCGUGAUCAUGAAGGCGGUUCCUCCAGAGUGAGGCUUUUACCAUUGCACUUCGAUACGAGCUGACCUCUGCGAAUGUCCCUAAUGUGGACAUCUCGGA
rnacentral:snRNA from 1 species